rnacentral:rRNA from 1 species
GACGAACGCUGGCGGCGUGCUUAACACAUGCAAGUCGAACGGUGAAGCGCCUUCCUUUUUGGUGGGUGUGGAUGAGUGGCGAACGGGUGAGUAACACGUGAGUAACCUGCCCCCUUCUUCUGGAUAACCGCAUGAAAGUGUGGCUAAUACGGGAUAUUCUGGGUCUGUCGCAUGAUGGGUCUGGGAAAGAUAUUGUUUCGGUGGGGGAUGGGCUCGCGGCCUAUCAGCUUGUUGGUGGGGUGAUGGCCUACCAAGGCGGUGACGGGUAGCCGGCCUGAGAGGAUGGACGGUCACACUGGGACUGAGACACGGCCCAGACUCCUACGGGAGGCAGCAGUGGGGAAUAUUGCACAAUGGGCGCAAGCCUGAUGCAGCGACGCCGCGUGAGGGAUGGAGGCCUGCGGGUUGUGAACCUCUUUCGCCAGUGAAGCAGGCCUGCCUCGUUUGUGGGUGGGUUGACGGUAGCUGGAUAAGAAGCGCCGGCUAACUACGUG